rnacentral:rRNA from 1 species
CCUUUGACGUUAGCGGCGGACGGGUGAGUAACACGUGGGUAACCUACCUAUAAGACUGGGAUAACUUCGGGAAACCGGAGCUAAUACCGGAUAAUAUUUCGAACCGCAUGGUUCGAUAGUGAAAGAUGGUUUUGCUAUCACUUAUAGAUGGACCCGCGCCGUAUUAGCUAGUUGGUAAGGUAACGGCUUACCAAGGCGACGAUACGUAGCCGACCUGAGAGGGUGAUCGGCCACACUGGAACUGAGACACGGUCCAGACUCCUACGGAGGCAGCAGC